UGGCUCAGUGGAUAGAGCGUUGGCCUGCGGGCCGAAGGGUCCCAGGUUCGAUUCCUGG
rnacentral:tRNA from 1 species